ensembl:lncRNA
GGUGUCUCUGGACAGUCUCCUAAUGUAGCGUUUGACUAAUUGACUGAAUCUAUCCGUGAACUGCCUUGGCCCCCUCGGCUUCUCCGUCACUCCUUAAUUGGGUAUUGUUCUGUAUUACCAGUACUCCAGGGCAGGACCAUCUGCCAGCUCCAACAGAUCAUCAGAAGAAAAGGCAUGGGGGACUGCAGUGGGCGAAAGGGAAAGGAAGGAAGGAAGUGACUGCAGAAGGAGGAGAGGAACGUGUAUUGUUAAUCAGCAGUGCAGCAGUGCAUGAACCGGGCUGGCACUGGUGUUCUUUUAACUCUCCCUCUCAUUUACCUGAUUAUCUCCCUAUCAAUGUGCAUCAUUAUGUUGGAUGUAGCCUGCGUGAUGAAUAGCCUUUUUGAUUAAGGAUGCAUGGCUCCCUUUGUUUAACAUAUGGAGCGAGUCGUAUGUGUGCUGCUGCAUUCCAGCUUGUUACUGCAUGACAAUAACGCAUAUAAAUAGUGUGAUCUUUACCCUUAUGGGCCAAUUAUUCAUAGGCCGCCUCUUUCAGUGAGUCUCUUCCCUUAAUACGCUAUUAACAAGCUAAAUACUUAAAAAUGUUGAUUGUUUACUGGAUCUUAUACCUCACUGCCAAUGAAUCGUUGGACAGACUUUUAGACCUUCCACUACGUAUAUUGAGUGAAUAUGUUCAUACAUGGAGAGAAGAGGUUGAUCAGCCUUCAGUUACAAAUCAAUUUUUAACAGAAGCAUUUCUUAUUGACUGUACUAUAUACGGAGGCUUCAACAACGUGAAACAAAAGUAAAUGGUGCUUCGUUGUUGAAAAUCUUAAUGAAAAGUGCAACAUUUGCGUUGCAGGAAAACCUUAAAAUGAGUGACCUUAAAAAAAAAGGCUCACUAGAAAUAUGUAUAAUUUGUUAAGUUUGGGGAACAUGCAAUCCAACUCUGUUGUGACGACUCGAAGAGACAGUGAAGAUUAACUUCCUGUUUUUAUUUUUGUAACCACUGCCCUUCCUGUAUCUAGUUUCUCACCCUUCGUUUCUCCCCACAGCUGAGUUUAGUUUGCAAUCACCUCCACCUGUAUUUAAGCCUCAGUUCCCCCCCCCCCCCACUUGUCUGUGUCAGGUUAUCUUUUGUCUUUCCCAGAGGUGCAUGUUUCCCAGUGCUGUUUUUGGUUAUCUUGUUUUUACUUCGUUGCCAGGCCCUCUUCCUUUUUGUUUCUACAAGAGCGUGUGGAUUCCGCCUUUGCCUGUGCACCCUUUUGUCUUGCAUUAGUUUAUUUUCCGA